UAUUUUUGUGUUACACAGUUGGUCUCAUAAAUAGUUGGUAAACCAAUUACUAAAUUACAAGUAUCAUCGAAGUCAAUAAUAAAUAAAUAUAAUAUUGGAGCAGUUUUGAAAACAAUAUUUUUAUACCACUUAUCAAAAUGGAGCUCAACUCUAUAAUGUUUCACCAAUCGGAUGUGAUUCUUUCAUCUAAUCUCCAACAUUAUUUGUCCUUCAUUUAUAUAGUUGACUAGAGAGGCUAUGCAAACUGGAAUCCGGGAUGUAGACUCACUGAGUCACUGGUGAUAAUUGGUACAGUAGAUAAUAUAAGUUGAUCGUUGAUGAUGGACCGAUCGGAAAGAGUUUUUUGGCUAUUGAGACUAUUAUUAAUUAAGAGCGUUUCGAUUAUGCUGGUGCGGAGAAGAAAAAGUUCUGUAUCUACAUUGCUAUCGGUCAAAUGAGAUCUACAGUAACUUGGAUCGUGAAAAUAGUGACGGCACUGCUAUUAACUAUUCUAUCAUCGUAUUCGAUACCGUGUCUGAUGCUGCUCUUUUCUUACACUUUUUUGCCAUGUGCCAUGGCAGAACUUUUUUUUUGUGACAACGGCAAACAUGUCUUCAUUAUUUAUGAUGAUUUGUCAAAAUCGGUAAUUGCUUACCAUUAAAUACUUUUAUUUUUGAGACGACCUUUAGGAAAUGAUGCUUAGCCUCGUCAUGUAUUCUAUAUUCAUUCUCGUUUUCUUGAAAGAGCAGUAAAAUCCAUUAAAUGUACAUAAAUAAUUGAGUUCGGACCGUCAAUAAUUUCCAGAUGUUUCAUCAAAAAAAUAAUAGUUAAAAAAAAAUGCCUUUAGUUUUCCAAAUUUUCAGUUAAGUAUUUAUAAUUUUUUUCAUAAAUAAUUAAAUAUAAAUUUGCCAAAAAUCGAAUUCCCCCCGCCAACUUAAGGGAGCUCACAACGCCGUGUCGAAGACUGCCGAACUGAAAUGACGUUAGACGAUGCAUGGCCUUCAAGCCACACUUCCGUGCCCGUCGGAGUGGGGAGCGUGAGGUUUUUUCGUUACAGAAUUUCAGGAUUCGGUCCCCGCGCUCAAGGCCCGCGAUAGAAGUUAUGCAAUAGCUUAAAAAUUUUGGUAAUUUUCUUCCCAUGGAGUAAUGACAAACGAUUUUGUAUCUAAUUUUAUUGACCGAUCAAGAUUUGAAACAUCUUAAAUCAGGAGUUAUUGGUGCUGUAUAAAAUUCCAGCGGAGGAAUUAAAUUUUAGUAUUUUAAAAAAUUAUUAUUUUUGCCUCCGAAAAAAGAUCUUAUUUACUGUAUAAAUGCAACAAGAAUAGUUCCAUCUAUUUCUCUGAGUUUGAGAAAGAUAAAGGAUGGGUCACCUCAAACAUCAAAACGAGUUCCCGCGUACUAAUUUAAACGAGUACUUCCUGAAAAACAACGUACUCUCCGACGGAAGAUUGGACUCACAAAAUUAAAUCCAUUAUUGAAAACAGCCCAAAUAGCACAGUUUGUUUUAGCAAAAGUUUACUUGAAUAUUUCGUCAAAUUUCCGUCAACUUCGGACUUUUCCGUUUUUACGACAAUCUGUAUCUAACUUGCUAUUCAAUUUGACGUAAAUUUGCUACCCGGAUUAGAAUGCAAAUUCACUUCAAAAGUUGGCUAGAAAAAAGUUGUCAACUUUCAGGCAAAUUUGAUGUCAAUUUAUUGUUAAUUUGACUUGCAAAAUUGUGAAGUACAAUCAGCGCCAUGUAUUGAUACCGUACCUGGUUACAAGCGUACUUUUUACUUUUCUACUUUUAGUAUUCUACCAACAUACAUGUCUCUUAAAUAUAUUUCUAUGCGAAAAUAUCAAUAUUAAAUAUAUUUAUGUUGCAAAAUAAUUCUAUGUAAAAUUAUCUCUGUGUAAAUUUAUUCUAUUAAAUAUAAACGUAUGCUACAAUAAUUCAUGUCCAAAAUAUCUCGAUACUAUAUAUCUCUAUGAAAAUUAAGUCUCUAGAAAAUUUACUAUAAUAUGAUAGAAUUAGGUGUUAACAUAUUUAUAUUAUGAAAUUUCUCCAUAACUAUACAAUUCUCCUUAAUAUUUCUCUAUUCUGCAUAUCUCUAUGACAAAAUAACUCUAUGAAAAAAUUUUUCUAUUUUAAAAAUUUUCUAUGUUGACCAAAGUCAGUUUCAACAUUUCUCUAUUGAAAAAAAUAAACCAAGUUUUACGAAUGAUUUUGUAUCUUACCACCAGUAAUCGCGUGGCGCUACCAUUAAAUUCCAUCAACAAUACGAUAAUAAUAUUGAAAACAACAAUGACUAGAAAAUGACGUAAUGAAUAAAUAUUUUAUUUGUAUUAUAUUCAAUUAUAAUAAAUGACUGACAAAGUCAGGAUUCAAAUUUAA